rnacentral:lncRNA from 1 species
AAUCCACACUGCACUUUUGAUAUGACAACAUCUAUUGUGGCCUCAAAUGCCCAACGAACGAGGGCUAAAGUGAUGUCAACCGCACCACAAUCUCCAUUAAUCCGAUGCGUGAAUGGAUACUCAGGUGUGACUAGAUCAUGGUACUCCAUUGCACCAUCAAUUAGUUGUAGAUCAUCUUCUUGCUUUCCUUUCUUGAUCCUCAUGUCGAACUCAACUAGAGCAGGGGCUACCAUUGUGAUGCCUCUCUUAGGGCCAGUCAUCUCAAUAAGAGAACCCUGUAAACCUAUUAUUAUUUAGUAGCUCCUCAUGGAAAGUAAGAAAUAUGUGAAGCAUAUGCUCUACUUUAUGUCAAUUGACAAAGAUCUCAAAUAAAUGAUAGUAAAAUCCAAACCCUCCAAUAUAAAAUCAUUUGAAAUAUUUUACCAACAAACAUAAGUUGACUGCAUAUAAAACAUAACUUCGAUAAAUCAUGCAAAGAUAACUAACCACAAACUUGCCUAACAUAUGCAAAGGAAAAAAACACAUCGUUGUAUAAGAUCCUCAAAGCACAUGCAUUUGCAUAAACGAAUGCAUAUAGUGAUACUCCCUCCGCUCCUUUUUAGUUUGCAUAUAAGUUUUUGUUCAAAGUCAAAGUAUCUCUACUUUGACCAAACUUAUAGAAAAAAGUAUCAACACUCACAGUGCCAAAUUAAUAUUAUCAGAUUCAUUAUGAAAUGUGGUUUCAUAGAAUAUAUAUUUGGUAUUGUAGAUGUUCAUAUAUUUUAAUAUAAAUUUGGUCAAACUUUGCAAAGUAUGACUUGACACAAAUCUAAUACGCGGAGUAAAAUGGACCGGAGGGAGUACAAAUAAGAUCAUCAAAGUGGUCCCACCAUCACCAACACCGCAAAUGUUUGACCUCUUUGGUUGCAGGAUUCCGAAAAGCGUUACACUAAAGCACAAGAUUAGAGUGUCACGCCAUCUUCAGUACAAGAGACUGAAAGGAUGUUUGAUUGUGGACAGGAAAAGCAUAGGAGUCUUCCUAAAAGGUUGAAGUGAAUAGAAUUUCAAUAAACUAUAGCGCAAAUGAAUCCCAAGAGAGAGAAAAUCCUAUGAUUUCAACCCUAUAUCAAACAAUGGAGGUAGGUGAACAACUCGAGCGGAUAUUGACUUGAAUUAUUAAAUGAAUGAAAUAUUAAAUAUAAUUGCAUAUAUAUGUAAAAAUGUGCACCUCUUCCAUGAUGAUGGGAUCAUCCCUGCUACGAUUGAAAACAUAAUUAAGCAAUGAAUCAUAACGAUCACACACUGCUAUAUAUCCAUAUAGUUGUACCAAGCCGAUGUUGGUACUAGCUUUUUCCAAUUUCAGCGAGAAAAUCUGCAUCAUAGCAGUUGCAGAAUGUACCAUGCAUCUAUCCCUAUUCGGGAAACAAUUCGUGGGAUUUGAGAACAUCAUCGGCUCUAGUUGUGCUUCAUGAAAAAAAAUACAUGUUAUAUUACAACAAAUAAUGUUUUAUACAAACAAUUUACACAAAAAAAUAAAAUUAUAAUUAUGCUUGUCAAUACAUAUUUGUGCAGUUUAGAAAGAAGAAGAAUAAUGUCAUUUGAUUUUCCGAGUCAUGGAAGUUGUUGGUGUAUGAGUACAAGGGAAACUUAUUUGUAGGACUAAAACUAGUGACAAGAUCCUAACCAUGUAUGGUAUAUCGACAAAUUUAUAUAUCUAAAUGAAGCAUGAUAUUUUUUUGCUAAUUCAUAAAUUCUUUAUAACAAUCCAGAUAUAUAUUGCAUUUUUUUAAAUACAAGAAUGCAUUUUAAAUCAGUCAAGCAAACUAUAUAGCCGGUAAGCAUCCUAAAAAUAAAAUGGAACAUGAUAGGUGACUUACUCUCACCACGUUGAGUAAGAUGCCAUAGCUUUAGAAUACCAUAGUUUAUCUUGUAUAUAGAACCAUCCCGAUGGGUGGUUUUCUUAUAGAUGUUGGCUUCAGAUACAGGAUAAGAGGCAUGGCCAACAAGGACUUGCUUCGUUCGCCCCUUCAUCCCUGAUGUGUCCAUCCCCUUGGUGGUGGCAAAUUGUUUGCCUCUGGUGGCAUAGAUGGAGGUGCAGAAAUAGUUACUGACACAAGGGAGGACGCAGAGCCAAUUUGGCCUGCCCCAUUUAUUCACUCCUUUUACUGCAAUGUUGCUUGCCAGGACAAAGGAUGCAUAAGCAGAUCGGUCACCAAAGAGCAAUCUUAGAACCCGGUCAUUAUUCCGUGUUAGUCUCAUUCCAGAUCCAAAAAUCUCCAGCAGCAUGGUUCUGACGAGAAUAAUCUACGGAAGGCCAAAACGCACUGUAAAAAACGGUCCAGAUUAUGGCAUGAGUGGAGCAUCCCGGCUUAUUCAACAUUUUUAGCCCAAUAAAUCUAGAAUUUCUACUCAAUGCUUGACGGUCCAAAUAGAUAAAACAUGACAGAAACUACAAAUGGCAAUACCAAAAUGUCAGAAUAGUCCUGCACAUUCACACAUGCAACUGAAAACAAAAUCUCUAAAUCUUCUAUUUAAGCUCGGCGCUAAAGUAUGACACAUAUACGGGACACAUACACAUGAUACGGAAUGUCAAAAGGACAACCACCAGCGCCGGCUGCCUGAAGCCCUGAGCCUCACCUGAAGAAGGGGAACAAGCCUGCAGCGCGGCGGCUGCCGCGGGGACAGGGCCGCCGGGGCAGGUGCGAGGCCGGAUUGCAGGAGCAGGCCGCGGGACGGCGCGACGCGGGCUGCGUCGGGAGAGCGGCAGAGGUGCGUGACAAGGGAGCGGGAUCAGCAGGUGGCGGUGCCGGCGCACAAGGCGGCAGCAACCUAUCAACACGGCGGCGGAGGCGCGUGCAUCGUGGCUCUGGCUCUGGCUAGCUGCCAGAUUGCGCGUGCGGUCUCCCUCUGCCUUGGGCCUUGUUGUGCCACUGGCUGUCAGCAAGAAGGGCCCAUUAAAAAUAGUGCUGAAUUGUUUUUUCUCCAAAUCGAGGGCCGUGGGGAGCUCUCUAGCGCCUUCAGGCCCUAAUAGACCCUAAUAGACCCUGUAGCACACAGCUGGGCCGGCCCAUUAACGCACACGUUCGUCAGCAGCAACUACGCAAGCGCUACCCUAGACUAAAAAAGAGAGUUAUUUUUUCUUCUCUCGCAAGAGUCACUUUCUUGACAUACGAGCAUACGAAGUGGUGGGCCCAGCAGUCAUCAUGUGUCACGUACUGGGCACUUUCUCUGAAUUUUGGUAUUUUUAAUUUUCUAAACACAUUUUUUGUGUAUUAGAUGUUUUUUCUCUUUUUGGUUUUUGUUUGUUUUCUCUACUAAAAACUGUUUCAUUUUGUUGUUUUGCAAACCACACCUGUGCUUCUUAGGAAAAAGUUGUGCUUUCAUGAGAAGCACAUAUUUGGUUCCUAGAUAAGUACAGGUGUGUUUCUCGAAAAGAAAACAAAUAUGUGCUUCCCAGAAACACAUAUUUGCUUUCAUGGAAGCACAACCCUGCUUCUCAAAAAACAAAAAAAAAUUACUUGAACAAGAAGCACAAAUUUUCUUGUCAUAGAAAUAUAGAUUUCCUUCCGCGAGAAGCACUCUGUUUUCACAGAAAACAAAUUGUAUUUUUAGAAAAAAGGAAAAUAAAUGAAAAACCGCAACCAUGCUUUCGGCUUCAUUUUUUCUUUUGUUUUUUAGAAGAUCUCGAUGCGAGAAAUCCAACGGUGAAAAUGGUUCAGGAUUGGGACGCACAGUUCAAGAGAUAAAACGUUUUGAAUAAACAAAUCUACGGAAAAAAAAACACUAGGUUACUACAAGUGGUGCACCUCCUGAGAAGGUAGGAGUGACCUUUGCAAGUGGUACCCGUUAACUAGUGAUUGCGCCGCUCGUCCUGAUUGUCGGCUCGCUCUAUUGUUGCUCGUUCAGAAAAAACCAGUAGAAGAAAAUAUGAAGCAUUUUGGCUUAUCUCAUUUUGACCAGUUUGCGUUUAGUGAUGAGAUGCAAUCUAUGGACGACGGCUUGAUGCAAACGGUUUGGUGGUGCAGCAACGGCAACGGAUUUGUAGACCACUACAUGGAGCUGCUGUGAUGCGGAAAAGUGGUGACGAUAACACAUGAUUGACUUCGAUUUGGUGGUGCUUCUUGAGCACCCGGUCUUGAGCUCCAAGGUGAAAACCAUAUGUCUAACCUGAGGUUAUACCUGACAAUGACAAUGUUUUUGCAUCCUUACCUGGUUGAAGGUGUUGCUCUGAUGUACUUUCGACUAGUUCUUCAGCGUGAAAAUCUUGAUUCUAACAUUUGGUUGUUUAAUCAGGUGAUGAUGAUGUUUCAACGCCAUUCCCUUUCUGAAGGCCUUGUUGUUGAAGAACUUUGUUGUUCUUGCGAUGUCAAGAGAUGGUUGGUGCAGAUAUGGUCGUUGUGGUAGUUUGCUUCAUUUUGAGUCAAUAAAAUUCACCCUUUAUCGACAAAAAGACCAUAUUUGUUGCAUUUUUCUUUUCCUGAGGCCUUUGGAUUUUCUUUCAUAUCUCUCAAGUAGCGCCUCCUAUGUACUUUGAAAAGCAAUGCAGAUCAAACAAUGAUGAAAUCAAUUAAACUUCCAAAGGAGAUAUGGUAAGACAUGCUCAGAGUAUUUGCAGAAAAUAUGCUUCUCAUAGAAACAGAGAAGACAAACAUUCCGGCACAAAAUUAGUAAUUAGUAGCAAACAGACAUACAUAUAGUGCAAGAUCAAAUAUGGCAUCAAUAAAUAAGAGUAAAUCCGGUGCAAGAUCAAAUAACACAGCUAAAGUUCAAAUAUGAAGCAGAGUGCUUUCCAUUCGCACAUUGGUCGUUGUGUAUUUUCUUUUCUUAUUAAUUCUUUGAUGAAAUUAUUGCCAGUUGUUGAGUUUGUUAAUUCAAAGCCAGGGUCGGCUCGAGCCUAUUCUCUAAAAUGUUCGCGCAUUUGACCAAUUCACCUUCGUGAUGACCUGCAAGUGCACAAGGUUAUUGUAGCACUUUCAUGAUAAGUAAGUAUCGAACCCACGGGGAGCGGAAAGGAAGGCACCACAAACCCCACAACUAUGUUAUCACUUAACACACUCACAUACGCACCUAGGCCGGAGUUUGGAAAUAGUCUACUCUAUCAGUUGCUAGAAAAACAGAAUAAAAGGCGUUUACUAUAGUAUGAACUAGAAGGUAAAAAAGGAACAAAAAGAGAUUAAGUUAGUAGAGACGGUACCUGAGCAGUAAAGUGUUCUCUAGGAUUUCGAAGUCAUCACUACAAAUAUGACCUGCGCAAUAAGUUCGGAGCAAACACUCUCUAUGGUAUCCUCUAUCCAUCCUUCAUAUGCAUAAGUGGUCGGUUCUGGUACAGAGCAUGUUCUACUUUAACAUAGACUUCAUGCACAUAUGCCACCAACCGUAGCUUCCCCAAGCAUGUUAUCACAUACGGUCAAUUAAAGGUUUCCCCGUGGACGCACUCAGAUGUGGAUCAUCUCAUCUCCCGAGCGAUUGGUACAACGUAUGUGUCGUCGGAAGAUCCCAACAUCCACGUGCGUACGUGCAGAUAAAUGGGCAUCACAUAAUAUUUACAUGGCCGAUUUAUUUGCUCUCCGGCCGACUGCUGCUGAGCCAUGCAUGUCUCGGCUUCAAUACAACACGCGACUCGUGCGACGACACAAGGCCCUUCUAUACGUAUCUCCUGUGCGCGUGUCGCCUGCAGAUCACCCCCAUCCACAUGCCAUCUUCUAUUCCUUCAAAAAAAUAAACAUGCCAUCUUCUACCUCUACCUGUUCUUCCCACCGUCGUCCGCCCGCGCCGGCGCAGGCGCCUAUCGCAUCCCGAUCGUCGUGGGCAUGCGCCAGCCCACGCUCAAGGCAGACCUUUAAAUAAAAAGUACAGUCAUACAAAUAGAUAUUACAUAUUCUUAAUAAAAUGAUACAAAUCUGAACCCACACAAUUCUAAUAGAGUUGAGUAAAAAAAUACUCUCUCUAUAAACAAAUAUAAGACGUUUUUACAUUUGUUUACAAAGGUAGUACUCUGUAAACGCUAAAGGUGGUACAUUAAUAGAAGAAUGCACAUUUUUGUGGAUCCAUUUAUUUGUUUUCUGCAAACCCACGUACAUUCAACUAGUAACACAACCAAAGUUCGAAUACGAAACGAGUGAUUUACCUUUGCAAGUUCGACCAAGUCACCUUCACUGAGAUAGAGGCAAGCUCAAGCAUGAUUUGCUGAUAGUCGUGCCCAUGCUUUUUUGCUUUGAAGGAACAAUGGUGAUCAAGAUCAUUUUUACAACUAUUCCGGCCUAGCUUGAACUUCAAAUACAUCAAAGUAUCCUUCUUUACAGCAAUCACAUAUCUUCUUAAACCACAUGACUCAACAACACUGCCACGAAAGAGUUGAAUCCCAUGUAAACCAUUCAUAAGGAAAACACACGAACUGAGAGAUAAAUCAAAUCCACACUGCACUUUCGAUAUGACAACAUCUAUUGUGGCCUCAAAUGCCCAACGAACGAGGGCUAAAGUGAUGUCAACCGCACCACAAUCGCCAUUAAUCUGAUGCGUGAAUGGAUACUCAGGUGUGACUAGAUCAUGGUACUCCAUUGCACCAUCAAUUAGUUGUAGAUCAUCUUCUUGCUUUCCUUUCUUGAUCCUCAUGUCAAACUCAACUAGAGCAGGGGCUACCAUUGUGAUGCCUCUCUUAGGGUCAGUCAUCUCAAUAAGAGAACCCUGUAAACCUAUUAUUAUUUAGUAGCUCCUCAUGGAAAGUAAGAAAUAUGUGAAGCAUAUGCUCUACUUUGUGUCAACUGACAAAGAUCUCAAAU